rnacentral:rRNA from 1 species
UACAGAGGGUGCGAGCGUUGUCCGGAAUUACUGGGCGUAAAGGGCGCGUAGGCGGCUUGGUAAGUCGGGGGUGAAAGUCAGCGGCUCAACCGCUGGACUGCCUUCGAGACUGCCUGGCUUGAGCAUGGUAGAGGCUGGCGGAAUUCCCGGUGUAGCGGUGGAAUGCGUAGAGAUCGGGAAGAACAUCGGUGGCGAAGGCGGCCAGCUGGGCCAUUGCUGACGCUGAGGCGCGACAGCGUGGGGGAGCAAACAGG